UUGUGCGUCUAGUGUCAGGACAGCCCGCGCUUUUGGCUUCAAGUUCCUGGGUUUCUGCAAUCGCUUUUUGCAAACCAGACAACUUUCCCUGCUCGCGACAGCAGCCGCAAGUAUGUGGGCUGCCCAGGCUCUCGACCAGGGUCGCGGGCAGCGCUCCGAGAUAGGAAGGAUUGGAUUGGGAAAGCGACUAAGGUAUCGUGAGAGCGAAGAGCACAGAUGGUGGGGAUGAACCGUCAAUCGGUUCAGCAUUCCAGAGACUGAAGUCAAAUCUUUCCUCCACCUUACCACUCACACAUAACUGACACCCGGUGGACUAAAAGGCUAAUGAACAAGCCUGGGGGCCUUCAAACUGAGAAGACGGUUCUAUGAAGGCCAGAAUCUGGUGAAAGUUAUGCAUGUUACCCAGCUGCCGACCCCUGUCCUGGCAAGUACGGCUUCUUGCCCUGGGAACCUUCGUUGAUUUGAGGUGGUGGAAGCUACGGUAAAGAAUAAAAUCAAUGUCCACAGCACAUCUGGCCUGGUUGACACUAUGCAUCAUCAGCUCAGACAUGGAGAUGCAGGUUUUGUUAUUGAAGAAUCAAGAAUAGGAAGAAAUGUGUCUCUACCAACUACUUAAGAAGUGGGAUUAAACCCAAGGUCUUCUGUAAAGUUACCAUGCACUGUGACACUGAGCUACAAUCUGGUCUCUGACUCUAUUUCCAAAUAAAGAACCACCACACAGUUCCUGUUUCCUCUUUGGAUUGGAUAUGCACAUGAAGCAGAAUCAGCCAGAUGGGGGUAAAACUGCACUUUCUACUGCCCAGCUAAGAGGCCACAUGGGGCCCUUCCUCCAGAAGACAGCCUAAGGCCAAGGCUGUCCCUCUGGAACCAGAAGAAGGGUUAGCCUUACCCAGCCCUGUGUUCUCAAGUUUCUUUCCUGCAGCUCUCAGUUCUAAGUACAUGGGUCAUCUGCUAGUGUUGGCCACACUUUUUCCCUUCUGGAGUCUGGCUUUGAAGUCAGCAGAAUCCAGGGCUGGAAGCUACAGGGUGGAGGUCACAGACCGCAGGAAGGGAGCCUGGUGCUUGUCGCGCUUCUCAGCAGCAGUGCUUCCAGGAGGUUUUUCCUGAACCUUCAAAGCCUGAAGUUAGAUGCACCUGUUCUCCUUCUGCCUGGCAGUAGCAAGUGCCCAAGGCCAGGAAGUAGGUGGGGGUGUCACUGGUAACUCUAGGCCUCCAGAGCUCACUGGGUAAUGUCCAGGGGUGUGUUCAUCUGUCAUUCCUUUGCCUUUGCUUCCCUGGCUCCCAUUCCACCUUAUAAAAGAGAGGCAGAGAAUUCCAACACACUUGGGUAUUAAAGAGCAAAGUCACAACAAUUUAAA